CAGUAGCCGCGGUAAUACGUAGGUGGCAAGCGUUGUCCGGAAUUAUUGGGCGUAAAGCGUGCGCAGGCGGUUGUGUAAGACAGGUGUGAAAUCCCCGGGCUUAACCUGGGAACUGCGCUUGUGACUGCACAGCUAGAGUAUGGCAGAGGGGGGUGGAAUUCCACGUGUAGCAGUGAAAUGCGUAGAGAUGUGGAGGAACACCGAUGGCGAAGGCAGCCCCCUGGGCCAAUACUGACGCUCAUGCACGAAAGCGUGGGGAGCAAACAGGAUUAGAUACCCCGGUAGUCCCUGUCUCUUAUAC
rnacentral:rRNA from 1 species